rnacentral:lncRNA from 1 species
CCAUAUUUAGCCCUAUAUGCAAAUCACCCGGUGUCAAUAGUUAUCCCACCCCUGGUCAAUCUAUCCCUUCUGUGCUUCCUCCUCGUCUUCAUUAUUUCAAAUAGACACUGGACAUCCUAUAAUUUCUUCCACAAUUACUUAAGGCUGAUUCUUUAAGAUACAACUCCCCCCACCUCAUAAUCAUAGUAUCAUUAUCUGAAUAUACAUAUUCUCAACUGGAUAUACAGAAUUUUUGCCCUACCUUUGCUUUUCUGAAAAAGGCAGAAUGAAGGGUUGUCACAGUGGGUAACGGCAAAGCAGAAACCAGAGAAACCAGAGCAUGAUUACUGCUUGUUGCGAGACCUUUCCUUUGGUUUAGUUUAUUUUGAGCGAGGUUGUGUUUGGAUCUGAUGAGAUGAAUUUUAUUGUUGUAUAAACAUGGUUGUGUAAAUAUGCAGUAAUUGUAGCUACCCCAACUGUGGCUUGCACCCUUGGCGAGAUUGGCCAUUUCCAGUUGUUCCCAUAAUGAGUACCCUCCAUCUAAGAACUUAUAUAGGAAGGCUUAUUUUAGUUAGAUGGCUGGGAGAAACCCUGUUCAUAUAUUUAUCUUCAUAGGCCUCCAUGGUAUAAAAGUCUUUGCAUUUUGUGAAUAUAUUGCUUAAAAGAAAAAUGUCUUCCCAUUUCUAACUGGCUAAGUGCUAAUUUCAGCCUAUUUUCUGUAACUGAAGUGAUCAAAAAUGGUUUCUUUGGCGUGGGGAACCCUUACAAGAAGCUGUAAGUAUUCGGACCACAUUUUGGUGGGUUGAGGGUGAGGGGUGAUAGGGAGAGAAAAGGUUACUAUCUUUACUUCAAAAUAUUUGCCCCAUUGAUUUAAAAUACAAAUUUUAAAUUUCAGCUAGAAAUGUUGGAAUACAUCAAUGUUAAUUUUUAAACUUUUUGGUUUUCCAAAAUAGAUUGGUUCCAUUUUCCAAGGUUCGUGGAAUGUGAGAGAUUUUUUAUUUUUAUUUUUUUAAAGAGGCUCUUUCUCAAAUGUUUUAUUUAAUGCAGGCUAUAAAUCUGAAGCAUUUGUUUUUUGGUUUCCAGCCAAACAGGUAAUUACACACGAGAUGCUUUUGAGGGGGUCUUAGAGGCCCUGACCAGGUGAAAACCCGCCUCCUGAGCUGGCUACCACACAAGAAAUGCACAAAGGAAUUCGUACAUUCACGGUUUGGGGAGCACUACCAAAAUGGAAUAAAAAGCCUUUGUUUGGAAACCAUCAAUGAAGGAAGGAACCCACUGGAAUGUUUGUAAUUACAAGUGGCACCUCCUUGUUUAGAUUUCAGAAGCCACAGUUUCUUUUUCAGAGAUUUAAAUUGCAGGCUGGAGCCAGCAGCUGCUGUUGUGGUUAAUGGGCAGUUUUUCUUUGAAGAUCUUCCAGUGCUGGUCCUCAGAAGCUUUGGUGCAGUUGCCCAUGAUCUAGGGUUAGAAAAAAGGGAGAUGGCUGGGCACGGUAGUGCACGCUUAUAAUCCCAGUGGCUCUGGAGACUGAGCAAAAGGAUCACAAGUUCGAGGUCAGCCUCAUCAACUUAGUGAGACCCUAUCUCAAAAUAAAAAAUAAAACGGGCUGGGGAUGUGGCUUAGUUACGCACUCCAAGGUUCAAUCCCCAGUAUCUUAAAAAAAA